rnacentral:rRNA from 1 species
UACGUAGGGGGCAAGCGUUGUCCGGAAUCAUUGGGCGUAAAGAGCGUGUAGGCGGCCUGAUAAGUCGGCUGUGAAAGUCAAGGGCUCAACCCUUGAAUGCCGGCCGAUACUGUCAGGCUAGAGUCCGGAAGAGGCGAGUGGAAUUCCUGGUGUAGCGGUGAAAUGCGCAGAUAUCAGGAGGAACACCGGUGGCGAAGGCGGGUCUCUGGGCCGAUGACUGACGCUGAGGAGCGAAAGCGUGGGGAGCGAACAGG